GCGUGUUAGAAUGGAUUUGCUUAUUGAAAACGUCGUAAGUGAUGGACCCUUGAUGAAAUUGCAGUUACUAGGAUGCAUAAUUGCAUACGGAGCAAUGUGUAG